CCUACGGGAGGCUGCAGUGGGGAAUAUUGCACAAUGGGGGAAACCCUGAUGCAGCGACGCCGCGUGAGUGAAGAAGUAAUUCGUUAUGUAAAGCUCUAUCAGCAGGGAAGAAAAUGACGGUACCUGAGUAAGAAGCCCCGGCUAACUACGUGCCAGCAGCCGCGGUAAUACGUAGGGGGCAAGCGUUAUCCGGAUUUACUGGGUGUAAAGGGAGCGUAGACGGCAGUGCAAGUCUGGAGUGAAAGGCGGGGACUCAACCCCCGGACUGCUCUGGAAACUGUACGGCUGGAGUGCAGGAGAGGUAAGUGGAAUUCCUAGUGUAGCGGUGAAAUGCGUAGAUAUUAGGAGGAACACCAGUGGCGAAGGCGGCUUGCUGGACGAUGACUGACGUUGAGGCUCGAAAGCGUGGGGAGCAAACAGGAUUAGAUACCCCAGUAGUC
rnacentral:rRNA from 1 species